GUUCCUUGGAAAAGGACAGCUGAGAGGGUGACACUCCCGUCCGCCUGGUAGAGUGAGUCUUUGUCAACGAGUCGAGUUGUUUGGGAUUGCAGCUCUAAUUUGGUGGUAAAUUCCAUCUAAAGCUAAAUAUUGGUGGGAGACCGAUAGCGUACAAGUACCGUGAGGGAAAGAUGCAAAGAACUUUGAAAAGAGAGUUAAAGAGUACCUGAAAUUGCUGAAGCGGAAGCGAAGGAAACCAGUGUUUGUUGGUUCAUAUUUCCCUUGUCACUUGUGAUGUGGGCGCUGUGAGCUUGCGUGGGUUUGCUUUGGUUGAUUCCUUUGGAAGAGCGCAGUCAGAGUUGAUGUCU
rnacentral:rRNA from 1 species